AGCAGCCGCGGUAAUUCCAGCUCCAAUAGCGCAUAUUAAAGUUGUUGCAGUUAAAAAGCUCGUAGUUGAAUUUCGGGGUCUGUCCAUUGGUCGGGCUUUACGGUCCGUACUGGUGUGAUGGGUUCCUACCUUCUGAAUAACCAGCAUGCCAUUUAGUUGGUGCGUUGGGGAAGCAGAGCUAUUACCUUGAAAAAAUUAGAGUGCUUAAAGCAGGCUAGUGCUUGAAUAGAUUAGCAUGGAAUAAUAAAAUAGGACGGCAUGGUUCUAUUUUGUUGGUUUCUAGGAUCACCGUAAUGAUUAAUAGGGAUAGUUGGGGGCAUUAGUAUUCAAUUGUCAGAGGUGAAAUUCUUGGAUUUAUUGAAGACUAACUUCUGCGAAAGCAUUUGCCAAGGAUGUUUUCAUUAAUCAAGAACGAAAGUUAGGGGAUCGAAGACGAUCAGAUACCGUCGU
rnacentral:rRNA from 1 species